GCCCAAGGUAAGGAAUAACGUCGAGAAUCGGCGCUAAUACCUCAUAAUGCAGCGGAUCCGCAUGGAUAUGUUGUUAAAGUUUACCGCCUUGGGAUAGGCUUGCGUCUGAUUAGCUAGUUGGUGUGGUAAUGGCACACCAAGGCUACGAUCAGUAACUGGUCUGAGAGGAUGAUCAGUCACACUGGAACUGAGACACGGUCCAGACUCCUACGGGAGGGCAGCAGUGAGGAAUAUUGGGCAAUGCACGAAAGUGUGACCCAGCAACGCCGCGUGGAGGGAUGAAGGUAUUCUAUAUCGUAAACUCCUGUGAGAGCAGACGAAAGACAGAUUAUUAAUUUGGAUGACUGUAUGCUCAGAGGAAGCCCCGGCUAACUACGUG
rnacentral:rRNA from 1 species